AUGAAUGAUCCCUGCCCUGCCUCUGGAAACACUUUACUGAAGGAAGAAGUGAAGGAGUGGGCCGAUUUUAUUCUACAUAUCUUCUUUGGGAUGUGCAGAAGGCCCUACAAUGCUAUCUGGAGACAUUGUGUGCCAGAAAUUGCCUUGAGAGAAUUUUCUUCUAUGCUUUAUCCUGAACUGUUUAUAUGGCUGUUCAACGCUCUUCCAGCAACUAUUAAAGGAAGCUUGUGCUCAUGCGGUGUCCUGUGAAUGUGACUUGAUGAACAUACCUACCAGAAAAUAAGCUGGGGUAAAGCAGAUGCUGCCCUGGAGAAAAUCCAGACUGUGUGAGAGUGGCAUUUUGCUUUGCUUUCCAUAGAAAAAUUGUAGUUGCUCAGAUAUAAAUUAACCUUACAAUAUUGGCCUCCUCUUGUUACACUUUGUUCAUUUGAAAUCAUAGUCAGACAUCAUGAAGGGAUUUAAUUUUUUUGCAACUCCUGGUCUAGGUUCCCUGUUAUUUAUUUAUUUAUUUCCCCCCCCCAGAAAUCAUUUUCAGCCUUCUUCACCCAAACUAGUGACAGGAAGCCAGGUGAAGCUCUCCUGCCUGCUACGUGUAUGUUCAGAGGGAUGCUUUGGCCUGACAUGAUGCGCGAUGGCAAUUCUCGUCCGGAAGCCCCGUGGCCCCAGCAGCAGUGCAGCUCGGCUGCUGGCGAGAGGUGCUGGGGCUGCAGGGCUGAGGGAGCCGCGACCCCAGGCACGCCGCCCCACGCCAGCCCACUGCCACUGGCUGCUGCCCACUGAGCCGGCGCUGGUGGGGCCUGCUGCUGAGCUGCUAUGCUGUGCUGGAGAUUGCCAAAACUGUGUUACCCACGCUCUUUAAUUACUUUGGCUUUCACAGGUAAGAUAAUUCAGGGUAGCUGAGCUGCCUCUU
rnacentral:lncRNA from 1 species